rnacentral:rRNA from 1 species
UACGUAGGGGGCUAGCGUUGUCCGGAUUUAUUGGGCGUAAAGAGCGUGUAGGCGGCCAUGUAGGUCCGGUGUGAAAACUCGAGGCUUAACCUCGAGAUGUCAUCGGAAACCAUUUGGCUAGAGUCCGGAAGAGGAGAGUGGAAUUCCUGGUGUAGCGGUGAAAUGCGCAGAUAUCGAGGAAGAACACCAAUGGCGAAAGCAGCUCUCUGGGACGGUACUGACGCUGAGACGCGAAAGCGUGGGGAGCGAACAGG